UGGCGAGUGGCGAACGGGUGAGUAACAUAUCGGAACGUACCGGGUAGCGGGGGAUAACUGAUCGAAAGAUCAGCUAAUACCGCAUACGUCUUGAGAGGGAAAGCAGGGGACCUUCGGGCCUUGCGCUAUCCGAGCGGCCGAUAUCUGAUUAGCUGGUUGGCGGGGUAAAGGCCCACCAAGGCGACGAUCAGUAGCGGGUCUGAGAGGAUGAUCCGCCACACUGGGACUGAGACACGGCCCAGACUCCUACGGGAGGCAGCAGUGGGGAAUUUUGGACAAUGGGCGCAAGCCUGAUCCAGCCAUGCCGCGUGUCUGAAGAAGGCCUUCGGGUUGUAAAGGACUUUUGUCAGGGAAGAAAAGGCCGUUGCCAAUAUCGGUGGCCGAUGACGGUACCUGAAGAAUAAGCACCGGCUAACUACGUGCCAGCAGCCGCGGUAAUACGUAGGGUGCGAGCGUUAAUCGGAAUUACUGGGCGUAAAGCGGGCGCAGACGGUUACUUAAGCAGGAUGUGAAAUCCCCGGGCUCAACCCGGGAACUGCGUUCUGAACUGGGUGACUCGAGUGUGUCAGAGGGAGGUGGAAUUCCACGUGUAGCAGUGAAAUGCGUAGAGAUGUGGAGGAAUACCGAUGGCGAAGGCAGCCUCCUGGGAUAACACUGACGUUCAUGUCCGAAAGCGUGGGUAGCAAACAGGAUUAGAUACCCUGGUAGUCCACGCCCUAAACGAUGUCAAUUAGCUGUUGGGCAACUUGAUUGCUUGGUAGCGUAGCUAACGCGUGAAAUUGACCGCCUGGGGAGUACGGUCGCAAGAUUAAAACUCAAAGGAAUUGACGGGGACCCGCACAAGCGGUGGAUGAUGUGGAUUAAUUCGAUGCAACGCGAAGAACCUUACCUGGUUUUGACAUGUGCGGAAUCCUCCGGAGACGGAGGAGUGCCUUCGGGAGCCGUAACACAGGUGCUGCAUGGCUGUCGUCAGCCCGUGUCGUGAGAUGUUGGGUUAAGUCCCGCAACGAGCGCAACCCUUGUCAUUAGUUGCCAUCAUUCGGUUGGGCACUCUAAUGAGACUGCCGGUGACAAGCCGGAGGAAGGUGGGGAUGACGUCAAGUCCUCAUGGCCCUUAUGACCAGGGCUUCACACGUCAUACAAUGGUCGGUACAGAGGGUAGCCAAGCCGCGAGGCGGAGCCAAUCUCACAAAACCGAUCGUAGUCCGGAUUGCACUCUGCAACUCGAGUGCAUGAAGUCGGAAUCGCUAGUAAUCGCAGGUCAGCAUACUGCGGUGAAUACGUUCCCGGGUCUUGUACACACCGCCCGUCACACCAUGGGAGUGGGGGAUACCAGAAGUAGGUAGGGUAACCGCAAGGAGUCC
rnacentral:rRNA from 1 species